rnacentral:misc_RNA from 1 species
UGUGUAUGAGAUGUGUCUCUUUAACUAUAGUAUAUGAUUUUUUCUUGGGGAAGUGGAUAAUAUGUCAUCAUACUAUUAUUUUAGGUGGAUUCAAAUAUUUAGAUUUGAAUUUCAAAAAUUGGUGUUGCUGUUGCUACCUAAUGAGAAUAUGAAUUUGGGAAAUAUAUUGUUUGUCUAUAUUUUAUUGGCAACAAUUGGUAGAACUUUUGAUCUUGUCAUUCAUUGAUUGAUGGAGUCUCGAAGGAUUAUAAAUUUUGUUGGAUGCGGAAUGUCAUGAAUGUUAUAUAUUGAACCUAUUAUUGGCAAGUCCCUAGAAGAAUGUCCCUUACGAAGCACAUAACAUUUUGGUUGAAUUCUGUUAUCAAUUAUAUAUUGAUAGUAGAUAAUCGAUGUUGUUAUUGAUGA